rnacentral:rRNA from 1 species
UAGGGAAUCUUGCGCAAUGGGCGAAAGCCUGACGCAGCGACGCCGCGUGGGGGAUGAAGGUCUUCGGAUCGUAAACCCCUGUCUUUGGGAGCGAAGCAUGACGGUACCCAAGGAGGAAGCCCCGGCUAACUACGUGCCAGCAGCCGCGGUAAAACGUAGGGGCGAGCGUUGUCCGGAAUUACUGGGCGUAAAGGGUGCGUAGGCGGCCGCUUAAGUCCUGUGUGAAAGGCCCCGGCUUAACCGGGGAGGGUCAUGGGAAACUGGGCGGCUUGAGUGCCGGAGAGGGUGGCGGAAUUCCCGGUGUAGCGGUGAAAUGCGUAGAGAUCGGGAGGAACACCAGUGGCGAAGGCGGCCACCUGGACGGUAACUGACGCUGAGGCACGACAGCUGGGGGAGCAAACAGGAUUAGAUACC